UUGAUAGGCCGGGUGUGUAAGCGCAGCGAUGCGUUGAGCUAACCGGUACUAAUGAACCGUGAGGCUUAACCUU
rnacentral:ncRNA from 14 species